CCAAGGAGUCUAGCAUGUGCGCGAGUCAUUGGGACUCUAACGAAACCUAAAGGCGCAAUGAAAGUGAAGGUUCGCCUAGCGCGAACCGAGGGAGGAUGGACGGUCGUUCGUGGCCGUCCCGCACUCCCUGGGCGUCUCGUUCUCAUCGCGAGAAGAGGCGCACCAAGAGCGUACACGCUGGGACCCGAAAGAUGGUGAACUAUGCCUGGUCAGGACGAAGUCAGGGGAAACCCUGAUGGAGGUCCGUAGCGAUUCUGACGUGCAAAUCGAUCGUCGGAACUGGGUAUAGGGGCGAAAGACUAAUCGAACCAUCUAGUAGCUGGUUCCCUCCGAAGUUUCCCUCAGGAUAGCUGGCGCUCGCUUCUCGCGAGUCUCAUUCGGUAAAGCGAAUGAUUAGAGGCAUUGGGGUCGAAACGGCCUCAACCUAUUCUCAAACUUUAAAUGGGUGAGAUCUCCGGCUUGCUUGAACUGUGAAGCCGCGAGAUAUCGGAUCAGAGUGCCAAGUGGGCCACUUUUG
rnacentral:rRNA from 1 species